GGCUUGUUGAUUAUAAUUUCAGGUCUGACCUGCCCAAUGAAGAAUUGAAUGGCCGCGGUAAAUUGACCGUGCAAAGGUAGCAUAAUCACUAGUUUUUUAAUUAAAAGCUUGAAUGAAAGGUUUUAUGAAAAAAUUUCUGUCUUUAGGAAAAUUUAUUAGAAUUUUAUUUUUAAGUUAAAAAGCUUAAAUUAUUAUAGAAGACGAGAAGACCCUAUAGAGUUUUAUAUCUUAAAAAGUAAUUUUAUUUAGGAUGAAAGUAGAAAUUAUUUUUUAAAAUAUUUUGUUGGGGCGAUAGAAAAAUUAAAUAAACUUUUUUUAUAGUAAGCCAUUUAUUUAUGAAUUUUUAGAUCCUAAUUUUUAGAUUAUAAGAUUAAAUUACCUUAGGGAUAACAGCGUAAUUUUUUCUAAAGUUCUAAUUGAAAAAAAAGUUUGCGACCUCGAUGUUGGAUUAAAAUUGAUUUUUGGUGAAGAAGCUAAAAAGAUAGGUCUGUUCGACCAUUAAAAUUUUACAUGAUCUGAGUUUAGACCGGUGUGAG
rnacentral:rRNA from 1 species